UGGAGCUGCAGCUGCCCGUUAGUCCCUGCCCUCUCCACCACCACCAAAAUAAAGUCCCAUUACUUAGCUCAGGUUGGUCUCGAACUCACGAUCCUCUUCCUUAAACCAAGGACUGGUAUUACAGGCUUGUGCCUCCACGAUAACAGCUCUCAUUUUUUUAAAAGGCUGAAACUAUAAUCUUUACAUUGCCUCCGGGACCCACAAGACUUAAUUCUGUCGAGGAGAAUGCUUGCCUCUUCUUGAACUUCCUUUAGUCACCCCUUCACUGAAGAUGCCCUGGCCUUAAGAGGUGGUGGCACACACCUUUAAUUCCAGUUCCAGAAGGCAGAGGCAGGUGGCUCUCUAGCCAGCCUGGUCUACAGAAUGAGUUCCAGGACAGCAGGACUCCGCAGUGAAGCCAUUUUGGAAAAAAAGACUGGUCUACUUUGCUGCUCUUUGAGCCUGCAGAUGCUUGCCAAAGUCUGGACAUGUUUUCCCCGGUGUUCUGAGCUGCCUCACUUUCCCUCUGAGCCACCCUCCUGGGUCCAGCUUCUGCCCUUGACCAUCUCUGCUCCUAACGCAAAAGGCGUCUCUCUC